CCAACACCUCGGAUGCACACCUUGGAGGUGCGUUGCCUAGGAAUUCUGGAAAGAAAAGGAGUUAAACGGAAGCCGUAAGGCGAGCUGUCAGACCCGUCAGUGCCAUCUUGUGGCGAAGUCCUUUUCCUCAGAGAGUCCGAGCUUUAAACCGGAGUCAAGAAUGGAGGGGAGAGCUUAUUUACGGGAAGGGGGAAGGAUGCUCUUCACCGCAAAGCCUCUGCUAAUGGGUUUGCCGCUGCUUUUGUGACGCUCAAAUAUUCCGCACGCCAGUACCGAGAAGUUAUUUUCCCCAGUCUAAGAGAACAAAAAGAAGUCCUUUAAAAAGCCUACAAAGUAGCGGAUCUCGGUUAAGAGCCUUUGAGCCUUUUCCUCUUCACUAAGAAAAUGCAUUUGAG